GAUGGCUCAUCGGCCUGGCAGCAUCCCUUGAAGGCACCCCUGGCACCUGGCACCCAGCCCCAGGGAGCAGCAAGAGCAGGGUGCUCCCCUGGGAGAGGAACCAGGGUGACCCCAGCCCCGCAGGGCUGCACGGACGCUUCCAGUGCUGAGCCACAGCACCUGGCUGCCAGAAUCCUGCAAGAGAAGAGGGAGAAACCCGAGUGGUGUCACUUUGGGGAGUGUGUGAGCCCCUUGAAAUCUUCACGCCAAGCGUGGCUGGGUUUCCCUCUUCAGCUCCUGGCAGCUAGAGAGAGCAGCCUGCAUGUUUUAGCAGGCUUAUUAUUCCAUGUCAUUAUGAGUGCUGUAAGUAGCUCUUUGUGUCACGGUAGCCACAUUCCUUGCCCACAGCGUGCCUUGCCUGCUCUGUUGAAGCAGGAUAUUCCCCGGCUGAUUAACAAGAAGAGAAUUUCGUGCCGUGCCCUGCUCUCCCAGGUGCCGUCGGGCGGCGAGAAAGGUUUGUGUGCUGUUGUGGCUUGUGUUUGGGGUAGCUGGGACAGCGGACUUUGCCCUUCCUGGAGCUGGUGACGUGUGGGAGCAGGUUGCAUUGCAGAGAGCAAACCGUGUGAACCCCGGGAGGAAUUUCCUAAGGGCGCUGUCACAUGCAGAACUCCCUUAUUUUUGUCCUGCCUCCUCAUUAGAAAGCCACCAGGGAGUGGCAGAGGGAUGGGGAAACCCUUUUCUGCUGUGCCUUGCGAGGAAAAAGAGGAGAAAAGCAGGAAAGCUGCGUGUGUGAACUGCUCCGUCCUGAUGGGGAUGAGUGUCUGAAGGAAAACAGACCAAAAGCUUAUCGUUACCUCUGGAUUGUUGGGGCUUAUUAGUGAUUGAUUACGCAUUUAAUGAUAAGAAGUGCACCCCGGAGCUGGGGGACGAUUUGUAAGAACAGCAGAAAGCUGUUAAAGAAGAAAAGCUGCGAUGGUUAUCGGGGAAAUUUGUGUAGGGUGAAAGUUAAUCCUUCCAAAGCUGUGAUGGAAAAUACUCUGCGGUGCUUUUGUGCCAGGUGAAGGCGCCCCUAGUCUGCUGUGGGUGUUUCUACCUGUGAUAAGUGAAUUCAGUGGUUUACCCCUUUUUGCCCUCUGUAUCUGAAGAACUACAACAAUCUGACCCAUUCUCCUCCCAAAAUCAAUGUAUAAUAUCUGAAAAUCCACCAAACAAGGGAAUGCAUGAGUUAUUUGCAGCAGGAUGAGUUAAACGCACCAAAGUGGCAUUUAAAAGAUGCCAGUCAAGCUCGUGGUUGCAGAGACAGCCGUGGGCCAUCCCACUAAACUUGGGGUGGCACGACAGAGGUCGGGGCUGCCCUUGUCUCUGCCAACCCCACCAAGUCCCCCAAAGGGACAAGGGACAAGGCUCCUGGGGACAGGGAGCGCUGGCAGCAGCCACCAGCAGAUUUCCAGGGGCAGGAAUUGCUUAACAGCAGCCGUGCUGCGCAGGCAAAUUUCUCAAUCUAAUCUAAGCUGGAAAUACUACAGUCUUGUGGACUCUUGCCAGCUCCUCUGAACUUUAAAGCAAGUUUGAGGAACAAAGCAAAAAAUAAUAAUAAUAAUAAAAUAAUAUAUAUAUAUAUAUAUAUAUAUAUG
rnacentral:lncRNA from 1 species